UAACUACUUGUUCACUCUGAUUAUGGGAAGCGGAUGGAUACCGGAGGGCGCUGUUAACGACCGCGUGGGACCGACAUGGGUUUCUCUCCGGUCAUGAGGUGGGUACAUUUGAUUGGUAAGGCAUCGAAGCGACGUGGAAUAAAGCCACGAAUCGCCAUCGCGGAAUCCACCGUUCUCUUUUGGAUCGGCUCGUUCCCACGCAAAACAGUCUUCCUUUUUGGGGCUUCACAGAGAGACCGAGGAGAUCCGAACCAAUCGCUCUCACCUUCUUUCCUUGGCAAUCUGUUCUUCUUCCUCUUUUCUUGAUCGGUUUAGGGAAAACGUUUGAUCAAAUUUCUUUCUCAUCGUCUGGGGGCGAAUUGAGCUACAUUGUCUGUUCUUAGAUGCUUAGCAGCAGUAAUUGUCAGUGUUGUGAUAGAUCUGUCGAAACAAAGAUUGAUAGUCGGUGACACGUUGGAACAAUUAGGUUUUGACAAGAUAUCUGCACGUCCAUGGCGCCACGGUCUGUGUUUGCCUCAUGUUAAUCGCUCUCUUGGUUUUGCCUCAAAUUGUGUGCCCAAUUGAUGGCUUUUGUCUGUGAAAGCAUAUCGUUUAAGGUGAAUUCCCUCGCGUCGAUUGAGACGGAGCUCCCUUUCAGCUACCAAGUCUUCCCGACUGUCAACCACAGGGUGGGAUCAAGAAGAGCGCCGAGAAUUUGGUAGAGCUUCUCAUUUGAGAUCUUCCAUGUCAACGUCGAUGAAUCCUUUUUACUUGUGCACCACAAACCCAUUAAAUGAGGACAAGGUGAAGCUCCUGAAGCAGAGAACACCCGAUCUCUAUCAGGUCAACAUGAUACUCGACAAUUUGCCUGUGAGGAGGUUCACCAAACGGAAUGGCAUCACCAUCCAGUGGACUGUGCGAAGAGACCUGAGAAGAUAUGAGGGGUUGGACAAAAAGGCCCAAACUCAGCUGAAAGAGGAGCUGUCUGGAUGGAAACUUGUCGUGAAUGACGUCUUCGGGUAGCCAACUUGCUCGAAGCUGCUCUGCGUCAUGGUUGGAGAUGGCAUACAGAUUGCAACCAUGGUGGUUGGAACAAUUGUGUUUGCUGCUCUUGGAUUGAUCUCUCCUGCUUCAAGAGGCAUGCUCUUGACAGGAAUGAUCGUUCUAUAUCUUUUCCUGGGAUGCUGCUGGGUAUGUUGGAGUAAGGCCCUGGAGGACAAUAGAAGGUGGUUCACAGGGAUCGAGAUCUCUUUCCUGGUCGAUUGUGUUUCUCUUCCCAGGGAUCGUAGUCAUCGUUCCUCAGCAUUAUGAACUUCUUGUAGCUGGGGAAGAAAAGCACACGAGCAGAGCCUUUGUGGUUCUGCAUCUUGGUUCCUCUAACCCUUUGGGUUAUUGCUUGGGCACUCAAGCGGAACCUAUAUGGUAUCAUGUUCUAAUAAAUCAGAGCUCAAUAGAAAUUCCUGCCAGAACCCUUCAUGGCUCCUUGUCCUUGCUGCCAGAACUCUACCAUUUGGGACCCUCUUUAUUGAGCUCUUCUUUAUCCUUUCCAGUGUUUGGCUUGAGGACUGGCGGUGGCGGUGGAAAUCUUUCUUUUCUUCUGAAUCAGCUGCCCUUUAUCUAUUCCUCUACUUCAUGAACUACUUGGAUUUUAAGUUAGGAGCUUGAGUGGGCUUAUAUCCUUUAUCUUGGCUAUUUACUGAUCAUGACUCUUGCAAUCAUGUUAUCUACCGGUGCCAUUGGCUUUUUGAUGUCUUUUUAUUUUGUUCACUACCUUUUCUCGUCGGUCAAGAUUGAUUAAAGGGAGGAGCAGCACUCAUGACUCUUUUUGAAUUCCUAUUUCUCAGUACGUAGCACACAGAUCGCCAUUCUGGAUUCGAGACUGACUUGAGAUUUCUCUCCAGUUUCCACCAUCCAUUGUCGGCACAAGUGCAAGAAGAACAUGGCUGCUAGUGGUUUGACAUCCGCGGAGCACCGUCUCUGGACCAUCUCUUCUUCCGAGUGUACAGGCAACAACAGAUCAGUAGGAAGUACGAUAACAGUGGGUUACGUCAUGGGCUUUUGAGUGAUGUUUCUUCGGUCUUUCUCUCUCACUCUGUCUGCACAAGGUCUCUCAUGAGAGCAAAUGAUGCGAAGGCGUUUGUUAGAGUGUGGAUGGUUAUGGCAAUGUGCUUUCGGAUUCUUGUCCAAGGGAAGCUUGCUACCCAGAGGGAGCUUUUCUAUAAGCUGCUUUGUGACGCACCUGAAUAUUUCAGGUCACAGCGUCAGGUCAACAGAACAGUACAAGAUGUUGUGGCAUUGCUCCGUUGCACUCGGCAUAGUCUAGGCAUCAUGGCAUCCAGCAGAGGUGCAGUUAUUGGACGCAUGGUGUUAGAGAUAUUACUGCCAUGGGAGUCAACCUACAGAACAACCAAAGAUUUUGAAAACAUAUCAACUGAGCCUGGUGAACAGAUUGUUGAUUGUUCCAUGAUUGGACAUGCUGGCUAUGCUAUAACUGGGGACCUUUGUACGUUGAGCAAACUUGUUCUACAUUCUGAUGCUCGAUAUAUCAUUAUAAUAGAGAAGGAUGCUAUAUUUCAGCGGUUGGCAGAAGAUCACUUCUUCAAUCAAAUACCAUGCAUAUUAAUCACUUCCAAAGGAUAUCCUGAUAUUGCCACAAGGUUUUUACUGCAUCGGAUAAGCCAGACUUUUCCAGACAUGACAAUCUUGGCUUUAAUGGAUUGGAACCCAGCUGGAUUGGCAAUACUAUGUACCUACAAGUUUGGAAGCAUAACUACUGGUUUAGAGUCAUACAGAUAUGCUUGCAAUGUUAAAUGGCUUGGACUGCGAGCAGAUGAUCUGCAGAUUAUACCUCAACAAGUGAUGAUGCAGUUGAAGCCACAUGAGAUAAAAACAGCUAAAAGCCUAAUGUCUUCCAAGUUGUUGCAGGAGAGGUACCAGGCUGAGUUGUCAUUGAUGGUUGAGAGGGGCCAUCGUGCAGAAAUUGAAGCUCUGUACUGUCAUGGAUUUGAUUUCUUGGGAAAAUAUAUAGCAAAGAAGAUUGUACAGGCUGAUUACAUUUAAUGUGAUACUACUCCACGAAGUAAGACAGAGAAGAGCAGCAAGGUUCAUUGGAGAGGCAAAUGUAAGCCACAUUGGACCUUCAUGAACGCAGUUUCAGCGAAGAGAUUAAUGCGCAGGCUCGUGCGCGCACACGCGCGGACGCGGAGGGAGACGAGCGCCAAUUGCUGCAAAAGGAAGUAACGCCACAGCCGACAGUUACGGUGGUGCGCGAGGAGAUGCUCGUGGUUGGGAUCUAACCACAUUCGAGAUCAGACGACAGGAGCACGCAGGACUUGACAGACUCGGCAGCGGAAUUAAAAGAGAGGUAGAGAAGGGGAAGCGGAUCUUGAAGGUUUCCUUCCGCUACUAUCGCAGCGACAAAAGGAGAAGCGUUCAAUUGAGAGAGGUAG